rnacentral:rRNA from 1 species
UACGUAGGGACCAAGCGUUGUUCGGAUUUACUGGGCGUAAAGGGCGCGUAGGCGGCGCGGUAAGUCACUUGUGAAAUCUCUGAGCUUAACUCAGAACGGCCAAGUGAUACUGCAGUGCUAGAGUGUGGAAGGGGCAAUCGGAAUUCUUGGUGUAGCGGUGAAAUGCGUAGAUAUCAAGAGGAACACCUGAGGUGAAGACGGGUUGCUGGGCCAACACUGACGCUGAGGCGUGAAAGCCAGGGGAGCAAACGGG